GCGAGUGAAGCGGGAACAGCUCAAAUUUGAAAUCUGGCCCUUGGGUCCGAGUUGUAAUUUGCAGAGGAUGCUUUUGGUGCGGUGCCUUCCGAGUUCCCUGGAACGGGACGCCUUAGAGGGUGAGAGCCCCGUACGGUUGGCCACCAAGCCUGUGUAAAGCUCCUUCGACGAGUCGAGUAGUUUGGGAAUGCUGCUCAAAAUGGGAGGUAUAUUUCUUCUAAAGCUAAAUACUGGCCAGAGACCGAUAGCGCACAAGUAGAGUGAUCGAAAGAUGAAAAGCACUUUGAAAAGAGGGUUAAAUAGCACGUGAAAUUGUUGAAAGGGAAGGAUUUAUGACCAGACUUUUUCUGGGGGGAUCAUCCGGUGUUCUCACCGGUGCACUUCCCCUAGUUGAGGCCAGCAUCGGUUUCUGUCGGGGGAUAAAAGCUUCGGGAAUGUGGCUCCCUCCGGGGAGUGUUAUAGCCCGUUGCAUAAUACCCUGGCGGGGACCGAGGUUCGCGCAUUGCAAGGAUGCUGGCGUAAUGGUUAUUAAUCACCCGUCUUGAAACACGGACCAAGGAGUCGAACAUUUGUGCGAGUGUUUGGGUGUUAAACCCUCACGCGUAAUGAAAGUGAACGGAGGUGAGAGCCCUUCGGGGUGCAUCAUCGACCGAUCCUGAUGUCUUCGGAUGGAUUUGAGUAAGAGCAUAACUGUUCGGACCCGAAAGAUGGUGAACUAUGCGUGGAUAGGGUGAAGCCAGAGGAAACUCUGGUGGAGGCUCGCAGCGGUUCUGACGUGCAAAUCGAUCGUCAAAUCUGCGCAUGGGG
rnacentral:rRNA from 2 species